AACGCUAGCUACAGGCUUAACACAUGCAAGUCCAGGGGCAGCACGGUGUAGCAAUACACGGGUGGCGACCGGCGCACGGGUGCGUAACGCGUAUCCAACUUUCCCGUUACUCUCGGAUAGCCUUCCGAAAGGGAGAUUAAUACGAGAUGGUGUUCAGUUUCCGCAUGUUUACUGAACUAAAGAUUCAUCGGUAACGGAUAGGGAUGCGUGACAUUAGAUAGUUGGCGGGGUAACGGCCCACCAAGUCUACGAUGUCUAGGGGUUCUGAGAGGAAGGUCCCCCACACUGGAACUGAGACACGGUCCAGACUCCUACGGGAGGCAGCAGUGAGGAAUAUUGGUCAAUGGGCGCAGGCCUGAACCAGCCAAGUAGCGUGAAGGAUGAAGGUUCUAUGGAUUGUAAACUUCUUUUAUACGGGAAUAACAUCACCUACGUGUAGGUGCCUGCAUGUACCGUAUGAAUAAGCAUCGGCUAACUCCGUGCCAGCAGCCGCGGUAAUACGGAGGAUGCGAGCGUUAUCCGGAUUUAUUGGGUUUAAAGGGAGCGUAGACGGGAUGUUAAGUCAGCUGUGAAAGCCUGCGGCCCAACCGCAGAACUGCAGUUGAUACUGGCGUUCUUGAGUGCGUACGAGGUAUGUGGAAUUCGUGGUGUAGCGGUGAAAUGCUUAGAUAUCACGAAGAACUCCGAUUG
rnacentral:rRNA from 1 species